UACGUAGGGUGCGAGCGUUGUCCGGAAUUAUUGGGCGUAAAGAGCUCGUAGGCGGUGUGUCACGUCGAUCGUGAAAACUUUCAGCUUAACUGGGAGCUUGCGGUCGAUACGGGCAUCACUGGAGUUCGGCAGGGGAGACUGGAAUUCAAGGUGUAGCGGUGAAAAUGCGCCAGAUAUCUUGAGGAACACCGGUGGCGAAGGCGGGUCUCUGGGCCGAU
rnacentral:rRNA from 1 species